AACGAACGCUGGCGGCAUGCCUAACACAUGCAAGUCGAACGAGACCUUCGGGUCUAGUGGCGUACGGGUGCGUAACGCGUGGGAACCUGUCCUUAGGUUCGGAAUAACUCCCCGAAAGGGGUGCUAAUACCGGAUAAUGUCUUCGGACCAAAGAUUUAUCGCCUUUGGAUGGGCCCGCGUUGGAUUAGCUAGUUGGUAGGGUAAAAGCCUACCAAGGCGACGAUCCAUAGCUGGUCUGAGAGGAUGAUCAGCCACACUGGGACUGAGACACGGCCCAGACUCCUACGGGAGGCAGCAGUGGGGAAUAUUGGACAAUGGGCGAAAGCCUGAUCCAGCAAUGCCGCGUGAGUGAUGAAGGCCUUAGGGUUGUAAAGCUCUUUUACCCGGGAUGAUAAUGACAGUACCGGGAGAAUAAGCUCCGGCUAACUCCGUG
rnacentral:rRNA from 1 species